UUCUCAUUCCUCAUUGUCUGCCCGAACAGUACAGCGUCGAGGAAAGAGGGUGGGUGGAAGGUAGACAAUAGCCCAUUCUUCCCCAAAGUCUCUAGAACACUGGUUCUUAAUUGGGGUGGUAGGGCUCCUUAGGGGAAAUUUGGAAAUUCAUGGGGGAGUUUUGUUGUUGCCACAAUAGUAUGGAAAUUGCUAUAGACAUUUACUGGGCUAGGGCCAGGAAGGCAAUACAUCUCACAUAAUGCAUGAGCCAGUCCUGUACAGUGAAUAACUUGCCUUCAUUUUGUAUAACUUCGAGAUGUUCUAUGAAUCAUAUAGGUGUAAAACCUAUUAUGUGAGCCUAAACCUUUACUCUAGUUUUUGUGAAAGAGCUAAGCAUUUUUCACAUGUCUUAACUUCUACAGAUUUUUCCAGGAAUAAAGCUACUGUGUACAUUGAGGAAAGACUGUACUUUGUUUUAUUUGAAAUUUAACAAAAGCUGUUCAUCAUUUUGGAAAAUCACUUCACUGAUGGCAAUGUUACUUAUUAACCAACGUUUGUAGCUGUUGUCCUCAGGGUAAGUUCUACAUAAUGGGAUAAGCAUCUGACUACUCCCACGUAUCUUUUGAAGUGGUCAUCCCUGAGAUUUACAAGAUUUACAAAUUGAACAACAUAUUAGCUCAUCAUAAAAUGUUGGCAUUUAUUUCCCUUUUAUACUAUAAUUAGAACAUUUUAUAAAAUUUUUAAAAAUCAUAUGUGGGGAUCCCUGGGUGGCGCAGUGGUUUAGUGCCUGCCUUUGGCCCAGGGCGCGAUCCUGGAGACCCGGGAUCAAAUCCCACGUCGGGCUCCCGGUGCAUGGAGCCUGCUUCUCCCUCUGCCUGUGUCUCUGCCUCUCUCUCUCUCUCUGUGUGACUAUCAUAAAUUAAAAAAAAAAAAUCAUAUGUGGAAUAGAUUAUAUUCUCAAUUAAUUUUAUUUCAGAAUAAUGAAGAGGUUGCCACAGCACAUUUGUUGUAAAAGAGGGAAAUUGGAUCUGAAGGGUUUGAUAACCUCUCCAAGUUUAUAACUGUCCAAUACAAGCAAAUAUAGCCUGUGGGGUCAAGGGCUGGAGUUGUGGGAGAAAUUUUAAUCUAUUAUAAGAUUGAAAUUCAAUGAUACAUAUGAAUGAGUCAAUUACAAUAAUGAGACUCUUAAAAUUAUGAAAAUUGACCAAAAAUGUUCUUAACUUCUAUGUCCUUUAGGGACCCACUGCAGGAAAGGAGCUCCACCAGAGCUUCCCUGGAGACAAUUAUUCCAACAUGACUUAAGGAUCUUUCUUCCCUGAAGCUUUUAUUUCCAACUGAAUGAUCGCAUACUGGAAGUUAUGGUUUUGCUACUAACUAGCUGCUGCCAACUUUGUCUCCAUUGAUAUCUUCUACAGAACAAUAAUUUGCUACCUCUUGCUUCUUCUAAAGGUCGUAACCGUGUUCUGGACAACUGUGUGGCUCAGUGGGUUAAGUGAUCAACUCUUGGGUUCCAUUCAGGUCAUGAUCUCCAGGUGGGGAGAUGGAGCCUUGCACUGGGCUCUGUGCUCACUGCAGAGUCUGCUUGGGAUUCUCUCCCAUGGCCCCUCCCCACUCAUGUCUGUAAAUAAAUCAAUAAAUCAAUAAUAAAUAGUUACAUUUUUUUAAAAAGGUCUUAGCAGUGCUAAGCUUUGUUUCUCCUGCAAACUGAGAAUACUAACACAUUUUCUGUCUCUUUCAAUAUUAUUCUGAGAAUCAUUUGGUGCAUAAAGUGUUUAUAAUCAUAGUAAAUGUGAUUCUGUACCUUCUUACAUUCCAAGGUACUCAGACCUUUAAGUUCAUGUUGGUUGGUUGAGUAUGUCCUCCUCCUAUCCCCAACCCAGCAAGCACAGAUGCUGGAAAUUCUGACUUGGUCUUUUAUUCCUGAUGGAUGAUGCUACUUUCUUUAUUCACAUGCAUGAUGUACCUGAAAAAGCUAUGAUUACUUGACAUCAUUAACUCAUUUAUAAAGGGCCCAAGAAGGCACUAAAUAUAGUGGUGUCUAGCUAUUGAGGUGAAUUAAUCAUAUAUUUUAUAGGAAUGGGUACUCUAAAAGCAUAUAUAAAGAGAAAGGAAGAAGCUAGAUAAGUGUUUUAAAAGAUGGAUUAAUUUGAGACUGAAAUCCCACCAGGGGAGCAGUUAAUUAAAUCCUGUGAAAGGAGUAGAGUGGAUCCUGAAGGCUGGCUGGAGUCUAAACUGGGAGAACACAGUGUUUAUUGUGCCCUUUAGAUUUGUAUGUGACCCUCAGGAGCAUUGUUCAGCUUCAAUUUUUACCCACCCAAUGACUUCACUGUUAAGCCCAAGCUGUCUAUCUUGCAAACGUCUCCUAUUGCAUACAGCUGAGACUAUGAUGGGAGAUGAUGCAACCCAAUGCCCCUGCUGAAGGACAGCUCCAAGUGAAAGGGUCUGCGUUAUAGAGAAUGGCUGGUAGAUCACACAGCAGCACUGCCCUCCUAAACAAAGGGCAGCAUCCUGAUGGUUCCAGUUGCUUCUGAUGCAGGGCGCUGUUAAUUGUUUAAGGAUGAUGGAAGAAGAACAAACUUUAAACUGUUCCAUUCACUUCUCUUUCUCCUCUCAAAAACAUUGCUAGCUACCAUCUUCGUCUCUUUUUGUCUCUUCCACAGAAAGAUGAUUUGCUAUGCUUUGCUCCUUCAUGAAAGGUCCUAUAAUGUCUCUUUGCAUCUGACAUUCCCAUAAACAAACUUCUGUCCUUGUUAUUCCCUCCAGAAGGCUGUUUGCUUUAAUUAAAUCUUGAUUAAUUUCCACUUUUUCCCACAGAAAACAAUAGUGAUUUCCUUUGAUACUUUUGAAUUUACUUUGUGCUC
rnacentral:lncRNA from 1 species